GUGGAUAUAGCUUAGUUGGUUAAAGCGCCGGAUUGUGGUUCCGGAGAUCGGGGGUUCAAGUCCCCUUAUCCACCCC
rnacentral:tRNA from 3 species